ACUCCUACGGGAGGCAGCAGUGGGAAGUAUUGGACAAUGGGCGAAAGCCUGAUCCAGCAAUGCCGCGUGAGUGAUGAAGGCCCUAGGGUUGUAAAGCUCUUUUACCCGGGAAGAUAAUGACUGUACCGGGAGAAUAAGCCCGGCUAACUCCGUGCCAGCAGCCGCGGUAAUACGGAGGGGCGUAGCGUUGUUCGGAAUUACUGGGCGUAAAGCGCACGUAGGCGGCUUUGUAAGUCAGAGGUGAAAGCCUGGAGCUCAACUCCAGAACUGCCUUUGAGACUGCAUCGCUUGAAUCCAGGAGAGGUCAGUGGAAUUCCGAGUGUAGAGGUGAAAUUCGUAGAUAUAUGGAAGAACACCAGUGGCGAAGGCGGCUACCUGGUCUGCAGCUGACGCUGAGACUCGAAAGCAUGGGUAGCG
rnacentral:rRNA from 1 species